AUUGAACGCUGGCGGCAGGCCUAACACAUGCAAGUCGAGCGAGCGGCGGCCGGGUGAGUAAUGCCUAGGAAUCUGCCUGGUAGUGGGGGAUAACUACUGGAAACGGUAGCUAAUCCCGCAUACCAUCGGAUGUGCCCAGAUGGGAUUAGCUUGUAGGUGAGGUAACGGCUCACCUAGGCGACGAUCCCUAGCUGGUCUGAGAGGAGGAUCAGCCACACGGGAACUGAGACACGGUCCAGACUCCUACGGGAGGCAGCAGUGGGGAAUAUUGGAAAAUGGGGGCAAGCCUGAUCCAGCCAUACCGCGUGGGUGAAGAAGGCCUUCGGGUUGUAAAGCCCUUUUGUUGGGAAAGCGGUACCCAAAGAAUAAGCACCGGCUAACUUCGUGCCAGCCGCCGCGGUAAUAC
rnacentral:rRNA from 1 species